rnacentral:rRNA from 1 species
UACGAAAGGGGCUAGCGUUGUUCGGAUUUACUGGGCGUAAAGCGCGUGUAGGCGGGCCAGUAAGUUGGGGGUGAAAUCCCGGGGCUCAACUCCGGAACUGCCUCCAAUACUGGAAGUCUGGAGCAGGAGAGAGGCAAGUGGAAUUCCGAGUGUAGAGGUGAAAUUCGUAGAUAUUCGGAGGAACACCAGUGGCGAAGGCGGCUUGCUGGGCUCUUCCUGACGCUGAGGUGCGAGAGCGUGGGGAGCAAACAGG